UACGUAGGGUGCGAGCGUUGUCCGGAAUUAUUGGGCGUAAAGAGCUUGUAGGCGGUUUGUCGCGUCUGCUGUGAAAUCUCAAGGCUCAACCUUGAGCUUGCAGUGGGUACGGGCAGACUAGAGUGUGGUAGGGGAGACUGGAAUUCCUGGUGUAGCGGUGAGAUGCGCAGAUAUCAGGAGGAACACCGAUGGCGAAGGCAGGUCUCUGGGCAUUAACUGACGCUGAGGAGCGAAAGCAUGGGGAGCGAACAGG
rnacentral:rRNA from 1 species